rnacentral:pre_miRNA from 1 species
GGGGAGAGGCCGGAUCCUGGGCUGUGUCCCGGCGCCCAGUUCUCCGGGGCCUGCGCUAUUGGAUUUGCGCUCCCGCCCCGCAGCCCCCU